UUAAGUCAACGCAACCAGUAUCCUUAUAAGAUGAAAUGAUUGGGAAACAGACAUGUGCGUCCCUAUAAAAGAAAGACCUGUGAGACUACGGCGAGUGGGUGGUCUUCUGUGAGACCUGGCAAGCUACCUUACAAGUAACCAAGCACGCAGAGUCUGAUUUUGUUCUUCAGGACUUUAAAAUGGUUUUCCUACUACACCUCUAGUUUACUACGUGGUUUCUGCCUGUGAACUCUACUCUGAUUUACAGAACAUCCAGGUGGAGUUCAUUACUGUGAAUCACCCAGCAUGGUCCCCUGGCAGCAGAUUAAGAAAACAGUCUAAAUUAGAGAUGGCUGCACUGCUAAACUUAUUCCUCGUUCAAAAUCCCUUGCUAGACCUGUGGAUUAGGUAUGGAUAGUGAAGACUUUAAGGAGCCAUGCAGAAGACAGCAGCUGAGGUAAGGAAA